AGGUCUAUGAUGAUAACUCAAUGUCACAAAGUGAAGUGGUAACAUUAAAGUCAUGUCAAUGUUAUUACACUGAGGUCC